GAUGAACGCUGGCGGCGUGCCUAAUACAUGCAAGUCGAGCGAACGGACGAGAAGCUUGCUUCUCUGAUGUUAGCGGCAGACGGGUGAGUAACACGUGGAUAACCUACCUAUAAGACUGGGAUAACUUCGGGAAACCGGAGCUAAUACCGGAUAAUAUUUUGAACCGCAUGGUUCAAAAGUGAAAGACGGUCUUGCUGUCACUUAUAGAUGGAUCCGCGCUGCAUUAGCUAGUUGGUAAGGUAACGGCUUACCAAGGCAACGAUGCAUAGCCGACCUGAGAGGGUGAUCGGCCACACUGGAACUGAGACACGGUCCAGACUCCUACGGGAGGCAGCAGUAGGGAAUCUUCCGCAAUGGGCGAAAGCCUGACGGAGCAACGCCGCGUGAGUGAUGAAGGUCUUAGGAUCGUAAAACUCUGUUAUUAGGGAAGAACAUAUGUGUAAGUAACUGUGCACAUCUUGACGGUACCUAAUCAGAAAGCCACGGCUAACUACGUG
rnacentral:rRNA from 1 species